CAGCCGCCGCGGUAAUACGUAGGGUGCAAGCGUUAAUCGGAAUUACUGGGCGUAAAGCGUGCGCAGGCGGUUUGUUAAGACAGAUGUGAAAUCCCCGGGCUUAACCUGGGAACUGCAUUUGUGGCUGGCAAGCUAGAGUAUGGCAGAGGGGGGUGGAAUUCCGCGUGUAGCAGUGAAAUGCGUAGAUAUUGGGAAGAACACCGGUGGCGAAGGCAGCCCCCUGGGCCAAUACUGACGCUCAUGCACGAAAGCGUGGGGAGCAAACAGGAUUAGAUACCCCGGUAGUCCCUGUCUCUUAUAC
rnacentral:rRNA from 1 species